GCUAAAUUUGCUCAUCCUGGUUUGCUUGUAGGAUGUGAAUGCAAGAACCUGCCAAGAAAACCAAUGUCCAAGAUGAUUGAUUAGUGCAGGACCUGAGAGAACCCCCUUCAAUGACAACCUGAAGCAGUUUCCAGUAUUGGAUUGAAAAGAUGGCCUUUGCUGCAUCUCCUUGAGCAAGGAAAGCCAAGAAACCUUUGCUUUGGAAGGAGAAAAUCUGGAAAGUAGGAAGAAAGAAAAGAAGCCCCCUGACUCCUCCUGAGCCCCAGACAGCCCAUGAACUGCCUUGCUGGGAAUGGUAGGACAGGCUGGACUCUGGAUUGCUCCCUCUGCAUGUGUGGAACUCCAGGAACUCCUGGUGCCGCCUGGGCCGAUGGAUUGGACGCCCCAGCCCCUCCGUUCCUGCCCAGCCACUGGGUCCGUGUCCAGUGGUGGCACUGCCAGCCCUGCAGUGGGAUGUAGCCUGGAAACUGCACAGAGCUGAGCCAAGGGAUUGAAAGGGACCAACCAAGGGAGGUGAAGAAAGAAUUAAAGUGAGGCAGCAGCCAAGCAGCAGCAAGUUGCUGUGUAAGCAGGUGAGUUGUGUUGAGGUUCCUAAGGCAGGCACUGAGGACUUUGAGGGCUCCAGACAGAGCAGACCUGGGAAGGCCCUCGGUGAAGCCCCUUGGAAACCUUCUAAGGGUAGGUGUGUAUGGUAAUGAGUGUUGGAAAAUGUCCUGACUGUGGAACAGGAAUGCAGGGAAGGAAAAUGAACCCUCCUGUAAUGCUGACCCCUCC